UCCUACGGGAGGCAGCAGUGGGGAAUAUUGCACAAUGGGCGAAAGCCUGAUGCAGCGACGCCGCGUGAGGGAUGACGGCCUUCGGGUUGUAAACCUCUUUCAGCAGGGAAGAAGCGAAAGUGACGGUACCUGCAGAAGAAGCGCCGGCUAACUACGUGCCAGCAGCCGCGGUAAU
rnacentral:rRNA from 1 species